GAUGAACGCUGGCGGCGCGCCUAAUACAUGCAAGUAGAACGCUGAAGGAGGAGCUUGCUCUUCUGGAUGAGUUGCGAAAGGGUGAGUCACGCGUAGGUAACCUGCCUGUUAGCGGGGGAUAACUAUUGGAAACGAUAGCUAAUACCGCAUGACAACAGUUAUUGCAUGAUAACUGUCUCAAAGGGGCAACUGAUCCCCUACCAGAUGGACCUGCGUUGAAUUAGCUAGUUCGUGAGGUAACGGCUCACAAAGGCGACUAUACAUAACAGACCUGAGAGAGGGAUCGGCGACACUGGCACUGUGAUGCGGGCCAGACUCCUGAUGGUCGCAGCAGGAAGGAUUAUCCCGAAAUGGAAGGAAGUCUGAAUGAGUAACGACGAGUGAGUGAGGAAGGUUCUCGGAUCGUAAAGCGCUGUUUUAAGAGAAGAACGAGGGUGAGAGCGGAAAGUUCGGCUUGUGACGGUAGUUUACCAGAAAGGGACGGCUAACUACGUG
rnacentral:rRNA from 1 species